AAUGCCUCUCCUAUCAGGAUAACCCGAAUCAAACGCACAAAUUUGGUUCGCGUUAUGUAACAUUACAGAUUAUUUCGACAUAUCCGGAUAUCUUGAAUUUCUGAAUGAGAUUACUAUUGAUGUUGCAUUAGCGCAUUUUGUUUAGUGCAGUGAUAUAAUGCUAGAUUGCAAUGAAUAUAACAUUACAAUAUUUGGUUCAAUUUAUAAAAUUAAGUAAUCCUGACAACAAAAUAUAAUCUAUUUCAAAAUUGCCCUCAAUCAUAUUUAACAAAAAAAAUUUAUUAUUUAGAAAUAAUAAUUUUUUUACAAAAUUUUAUUUUAAAUAAUUUAAAAUUCAAAUUUAAAAUUUUAUUCUUUAAUUUAAAAUUUAAAAUUUGAAAAUUAAAAUCUCAACAAAAACGUAAAAUUUAAUAUUUUAAUUUAAAAUAUAAAUAUGAAAUUUGUAAAUUUAAAAUUUAAAAUUUAAAAUUUAAAAUUUAAAUAUGAAUUUUAAAUAUAAAAUUUAAACUUUAAAUUUAAAUUUAUAAUUUAAAAACUAUAUUUAUAGUUUAAAAUUUAAAAUUUGAAGCUUGAAACUUGAAAUUUGAAAUUGUAAAUUUAAAAAUUAAAAAAUUUAAAUUAAAAAUUAAAAAUUAAAAAUUUGAACUUUGAAAUUUAAAAUUUAAAAUUUGAAAACUAAAAUUUGAAAUUUAAGAUUUAAAAUUUAUAAUUUAAAAAUAAAAAUAAAAAUUUGAAAUUUGAAAAUUAAAAUUUUAAAUUUUAAAUUUUAAAUUAAAAUUUUAAAAAUGACAUAUUAAAAGGGCUUAGGGUUCGGAGGGAUAACCCGCCAUCAGUAAUACGAGAUGCCCACCCCACUGCUUGAUAAUUUUUUCGGUAUAAUUUUGCACCAUUUGUAAUUUUGCUUUACUGACCAGAUUAUAUAGUAGAUGAACCAAACAUAGUAAUUAAUCUUGACAGGAUUGCCUAUAUUCUUGUCAGGAUAACCCGAACCAAACGCACUUA
rnacentral:lncRNA from 1 species